AGUUUUAAAGAGGACUAUGGCGAUAACUGGAACGUCAGGAUGAAAACCGCUUUCUGAAUACGGGCUGCAUCUGCUUAUUAGAGCUGCAGCUGCUGGCCUAUGCCACAGCCACAGCAAUACUAGAUCUGUACCGAAUCUGUGACCUAUGCCACAGCUUGUGGCAUUGCUGGAUACUUAAACCACUGAGGGAGGUCAGGGAUUGAACCCCCAUCCUCAUGAAUACUAGUUGAGUUCUUUACCCACUAAGCCACAGUGGGAAUGCUUAUCCAUUCUAUAUGUCUAUUCUUUCUAAAUGUAAUAGUUUGCAUCUACUAACCCCAAACUCCCAGUCCCUCUCACCCCCUCCCUCCUUCCCCUUGGCAACCACAAGUCUGUUCUCUGUGUCUGAGUCUUCUACAGGAUUUUUUAAGAGUGCUGUCAAAGUUCUUUAAGAAGCCAGCCUGUUUCAGCUGAGGCUGUUACACUUUCAUAAGCAACCUUCUGGCUGAUUAUGAGAUUUUCAGCUUGUUUGAAAGCUAUUCAUGUGGCUCUAGAGAAGGCAGGCAGACUCCAAAAGGCCGUGGAGAAGAAGCCAGAAUCAGAGCCAGGGGGGUGGCCUUCAUAUACCUCUUUUUCUCUCUUUCACCAUCAUCUAAAUAGCCCUGAAUUUCAGUGCAGUUGAGAGCUGUAAAUUUACAGAGUGUAAGAAAGGGAUCUUGCCCAAUGCCUGCGCAGAGGCUCCUACAGCUCCUGUGAGUGCAGCAGUUCAGGGGAUCAGGGGAAGGGACCAGGACAAGGAUCUGCAGAAACCAGGCGGCAGGAACUGGCUCUUGGGGGAAGGAAGUCAUCUACUCAGUCUCAUCCCUAAUGUAUCCAAGUGCCCAUGUUCCCCCUGAAGGCAGAGCUAUAGGAAACUGCACUGAUCUAUUAGGGCAGGUCUGGGCAGGCUGGCGCGAGUAUCCCCUAGUAAGAGUCAUUUGGAAGCUCUGGUAGCUGGAGGGCCCCUAGAGCCCCAUCAGGCACAUGUGCAAAUGAAGACUGACUGUUGCCCAUUUGAAGCCAUCACAUCCUUGUGACUUGCAGAAGUUGGGCUCCUUCCGCAAUGCAGGCUAUGCAGCCUCUUGGGGCUAGGCCCUAGAUCCACACACCUAAGGGGCUUAGGAGCCUGCUGAAGGGAUUUGCAUUGCACAUGUGCAUGCAGCGUGGUUCAAGGGAGCCAGGGGUCUGGAACAGGGCAAGGUUCCAGGGAGUCUUGGUCAUGGUAUCCAGUUCUUAGAGCAACCUCCUUAUUCUAAGCCCUAACUUCCUCACUGGAGAAUAUUCUCCUUCAAGGCAGAGCUAGUGGAGAAUUGACUGCUUGGCCACCUUGCCUGGUUAUCAUCCCAUAAUAGAAACCUGGGAGCCCUGUUGGGUUGUUGGAGAGACCUGGGUCCCACCAAGCAGCAAGUCCUAAUGGAAACUACCUGUUGUCCAUUUCCAGCUGCCUCAGAGUGAUUGCAGGGCAUUCGCUCCCUCCAUCCUGGAGGCUAUGGACGUAUCGGGGCUGGGCGAUAGCUCCACAGACAACCUGGAGAACCCUGGUUGCUAAAGGUACUGAAAGGGUACCUAUUGCACAUGUGCAUUCAGCAGAGUUCAAGGUAGCCAGGGAUGUGGCACAGAGCAAGGGUUCAGAGAUGUCAGCUCAAAGAUGUGGGUUCUUGGGGAGCAAGGCAUCUGCCUAAUACCAAGCCAUAACCUACCCAAAGAUGCACAUUUCCUUUGGAGGUAAGAGCUAAAGAAACUUGGCUGAGACAAUAAGGUCCUACUGUACAGCACAGGGAACUAUAUCCAGUCUCCUGGGAUAGACCAUGAUGGAAAAGACUAUCAAAAAAAGAAUGUAUGUAUUUGUAUAUGUAUGACUGAGUCACUUUGCUGUAUAGCAGAAAUUGACACGACAUUGUAAAUCAACUAUACUUAAAUAAAAAUAAGAAGAAUUGGAGUUUGCAUUGUGGCUCAGUGGGUUAAGAGCCUGACUAGUAUACAUGACGAUGCAAGUGAUCCUGGCCUCGCUCAGUGGGUUGGUUAAGGAUCCAGAGUUGCCGCAAGCUGUGGUGUAGGUUGAAGAUGUGACUCAGAUGUGGGUAUUGACGUGGUUGUGGCUGGUAUAGACCAGCAUCUGCAGCUCUGAUUUGACCCCUGGUCUGGGAACUUCCAUAUGCCGCAGGUGCAUUCCUAAAAAGAAAAAAAAAUUUUUUUUUGAGGGAAUAAUAAGUCUCUCUCUCAGAGUGAGAGAGAUAGAAAGAAACUUGGCUGCCUUGCUCAGGUGGGACCUGGUGGGAUGGCCCAGACAUCCUCCCAUAAGAAACCCCUGGGAGCCCUGUUUGCUGGAGUAACCUCGAGUCACAUCAAGCGUCAACUCAAAUGGGGUCAAACUGUCGCCAGUUUGCAGAUGCUGCCUCAGAGAGAUUUGCUGGGGCUGGGCUCCUUCCACCCUGGAGGACAGGCAGGCUUUGCAUCGUGGGCCUACUGCACUGACCUGGCUGGCCAAGGCCUUCUGAAGCAAUAUGUAAUGGGCAUGUUCCUACAGCUCAGGUCGGGCAAGCCAGGGAUCUGUAAGAGGGUAAGGGUUGGGAAAAGCCAUAUCUUAGGGAUGGGCUCUUGGGUGAAUAAGGCCUCUACCUAAUUCCAAUUCUUUGGACACUGAAGGGCAAGCCUUGGGUGGAUAGCUUACACUGUUCCAAAUUUACCAUGAUUAAUUAGGUCCUGGAUCCAUGUUCAUGAUGAUAAUAGAUGGAGAUGUUGUGAGCUAUGGUAAGAUAGCUAAAGACCAAAUUGAAAAUGGAGCUCUAUGUUGCUUAAUUUGCCAUAAUAUAUUUCCUGAUUGUUUUUUUUUUUCUUCUUUUAUGGCCUCACGCAUGGCAUAUGUAUGUUCCCGGGGUAGGGGUUAAAUCUGAGUGGCACCUCCAGGCAACACUGGAUCCUUUAACCCACUACACUGGGCUGGGGAUUGAACCCGUGCCUCUACAGCAACCCAAGAGGCUGCAGUUGGAAUCUUAACCAGCUGGGCCAUGUUGGGAACUCCUGUUUCCUGACUUUUAUUUUUAUUUUUUAUUUAUCUUUUUCUUUUUUGGCCGUUCCGUGGCACAUGGAGUUCCUGGGCCAGGGAUCGAACCUGUGUCCCAGUGCUCUCAAGAUGCCUUCAAAUCCCGUUGUGCCACAGCAGGAACUCCUGUCUCCUGAUUUAUAAAGAUAGUUUUACUAAUUUUUUCCCUGAAUUUCAAACUUAGCAUGCUUAUUGUAAAAAAAAAGAAAAUUUCUUUAUGAAAAUUUGUACAAAUGCUCUCCAAGUUCUCACAGUGAACGUGGAUAGGACAACUGGAGAAGGAGGAGACUGAGCACAAACCAGUGUGGCCUGCUUUUUAUUUAGGGGGUUCUGAGCAAACUUCUGGGCAUUGCUAAGGACCAAACUCUUCUUCUACUCCCAGUUCUUCGUUUUCUGGGUCUUGUAAAACAGUGCGUGGGAGGAAAAGGCACCACCAUAUGGGGAUCUGGGCAGACCUAGUUUGAAACUCUGUCCCUCUGUGGCUGUGAUGUACAACUUGGCAUACUUUUGAAAGCUUGCUGUGCUUUUACCUCUGGAGUGGGGAUAACAAUACUUAACUUGUAGGGCUAUUGUAAGGUUAAAAGAAAGAUGAUCCUUAUCAAAUGCCUGGUGCUUGGCAUGUAGUGGCUCUAAAACAGAAGCAAGUGGACCCAGUCUCCUGUCUAAUAUCAGAGUAGGCGCUGGGAUACACAAUUUUAUUUCUGACCACGCCCUCGGCCUUCGGAAGUUCCCAGGCCAGGGAUCAAACCCAUGCCACAGCAGUGACAACCCUGGAUCCUUAACCCAUUGAGCCGCCAGGGAACUCCGGCACUAGGAUAUUACAGAAUUGCCUGGUCCUGAGAUCUGUUGGGAGAAUCGCUGCCCUCCUUCUCUCAGAGCUCCUUAGUGUUUGACCAGGACAGUUCUGUCUCCUCCUCCAUGCGAGGCCCACGUAAAUGCAAUCACUUCCUCACCCAUCCCAGCAGCACUAGGGCUGAGUCAGGAAGAAUUCUCUUCUCCCUUCUACACUCCUCUCCUGCUCUCCAAGAUGUGUACUUGUUUCCCCUUUGGACAUGGCACCCUCCACUUUUUUUUUUUUUUUCCUUUUUUUAAGGGUUGCUCCUGAAGCUAUGGAGGUUCCCAGGCGAGGAGGUCAAAUUGGAGCUGCAGCUGCUGGUCUAAGCCACAGCCACAGCAAUACAUGUUCUGAGCCACAUCUGUGACCUACACCACUGCUCACAGCAACACUGGAUCCUUAACCCCCUGAGGGAGGCAAGAGAUUGAACCCGAUUCCUCAUGGGUGCUAAUUGGGUCCGUAACCCGCUGAGUAGGAACUCCCAACCCCUUCUAUCUUUAACUAAACUGGGUUAUUGCCUAUUUAAAAAUGUGGGGUUUUUUUGGCAUGUAUCUUGGGGAGCAGAAGGCAUCUGAGAGGCACAGUAGAUUUGCCUGGCUCCUCAAGCCAAGAGAUACCUGGUUUCAGUGCUCUCUGCCCUGCAUGUUGCUCCAUUUCAGUGAUCUGUCACACAGUGACUACUCCCUUUGCCACCCUCUGGAAGGGAAGAGCCACCCCCCCCCUUUUUCUUUUUAUGGCUGUACCUAUGGCAUAUGGAAGUUCCCAGGCUAGGGGUUGAAUUGCAGCUACAGCUGCUGACCUACAAUGCAACCACGGCAAUGCAGGAUUCAAGCCACAUCUGUGACCCAUAUCACAGCUCACAGCAACACUGGAUCUUUAACCCACUCAGUGAGGCCAGGGAUUGAACCCGCAUCCUUAUGGAUACUAGUUGGGUUCAUUACCACUGAGCCACGAUGGGAACUGCCGCAAGAGCUCUGUUAAUCUCUUGCAAAGCUAGCCUUGGAAGGUAAGGUGAUGGCUUUAGAAAAACAGAGUUAUUGUAUUUUCAGAGACAGUAUGAGAAUCUAGGGGCAAAGGAAAUAUUCAACCUUCAUUUUUAUUGAGAGAUUAAGUCAAGUAACUUUAAGUUUCGAGAAGGAGGAAUCUAAUUUGGGCAGUUCGAAGUGAUGCUUACAAAGUCUCCCACUAGGGCAGCCCCACCUGGGAACAGGCGGUUUAACCCUCCAAGAGUCAUACAAAAUGAUCUUUUUUGGGGGGAGGGUUGUGUCCGUGUUGAGGGAUUGAACCCACUGCCAUGGCAGCAACCUGAGCCACUGCAAUGGCAACACUGAAUCCUCAACCCACUGUACCAUGAAAGAACUCCCCAAAUGACUGCUAAAAUGAUUGUUAAAAUUUAAUCCCAAAGGUCUUUACUAUCUCUUAUUUUUAUAGGUGGUGUAGUUUUCCUUCUGUAAAAAACACUUUUGAAUUGGCUAAGAAAACAUAACAGGAUUAGAAAAAAUUUAGUAAAAUUAUAAAAAUUGCUUUCACUCUUCUCACUUUGCUUAACUAUUUUUAUUUUUCCAUAUUAUCCUCUUUAUGCAUACACAUAUCUAUUUAAUUGCAAUCAAUUUGAAUAUUAUUUUGAAAGGUCAUAUAUAUAAUUUUAUACUAUGCAAUCUUCCUCAUGUUUUUAUAGAAUUACUAUUGUAAUUUUAAUUUCUGUGUAAUAUUCUUUUUCAUGUAUCGGAAUUUAUUAAGUCAUUAUCAGACUGUUGGACAUAUUUUGCUCAAAUAUUUUUGGGUAUAUAAUAUGUACCUGGGUUGGUGCAAGGCUGACAUUUUUAUGCUGCAAUGUAAAGCUCUGUGCCUAUAUUUUUUUUUAUCUCUUUGUUUCCUCAGGGUAGCUUUCUUGAAGUGGGGUGAUUGUGCUGAAAGUUGUGAAUUUUUUUCUUUUUCUUUUUAGGGCUGCACCUGAGGCACAUGGAGGUUCCCAGGCUAGGGGUCUAAUCAGAGCUGAAGCUGCUGGCCUGCGCCACAGCCACAGAAAUGCCAUCUGAGCUGAGUCUGCUACCUACACCACAGCUCAUGGCAACACUGGAUCCUUAGCCCACUGAAGAUUGCCAGAGAUUGAACCUGCAACCUCAUGGUUCCUAGUCGGAUUCGGGUUUCCACUGCACCAUGAUGGGAACUCCCAUGAAUUUUUUCUGACACUUGUUUUGCAUUAACAGUCCAAAAUGAUUGUACCAAUGUUAUCUUGUGACAAGAAAUAAAUGAGUACACUGAUUUUGCCCUAUGCCUACUGGCAUUACGUAUUAUCAUUUUUUUUUACUGUUUUUCCAAAGGCAUCAUUUUUGACGAAACUCUAAAAGCAAGGUUUACUGCCCUGAAGUUGGCUCUUCUCAGGCCAUGCUUAUAAUAAUGACAGUGAGGCCUUAAUUGGGUAACUGUACUGUCUUUUCUUUUUUUACUUGUGGUAUGGAUCUUUUUUUUUUUUUUUCCUUAAGGUGGGGGGAAGUGUUCAGCCAUUGACUCAGAUUCCUAUCAUCCCUUUGCUUUAACACCUCCAACGAGUUCCUUGAAGACAGAACAUAUGAAGGGAGGGGUUAGCUGGUGGUGGUGACAUUAAGUUGCCCGGUGACUCAAAACAGACCAUCACCAAAGCAGGGAGAAGCUGAGUCUGGCACCUGGUGUGUGGGCUUCCCCCACUACUGGUCCUCCCACUCAGGGUGCUGCCUGCAGGAGGAGCUUUGAAAGAACAGAAAAGCAUAUUAUAUUUAAUACCUAGAAAAAAGCGCAAUAGGCAAGGCAGCCUUCUAAAAAUUGCUGAGCUUAAUAGAAAAGGCUUUUGAAAUUGUGUUUAGAUCCAGAAAUCCUUACUCUGUAGAGCAGAUGAUUUGAGAUGAAAAAAAUUAAUCUUGUCUUGUGAUUCUCUUAUUACAUGUAUCUAUGCAUAUUUAUUUCCCUGUGUGUCUCAGAAAGGGUCUGAUGCAAGUUUCCUUUUCUCCAGAGGGAGAAUGGAAAAUUCAAAAAGAGUCAGGCUACUCUCAACCCAGGCAAGGCAGUGGUGAGCUCUGCUGAAGAGAUACGUCGAUAAGAAUUCAGAGCUUUUGCAGAUAACAAUGAGACAUCACAGAGAGCUUCAGGCAGAUAAGCAAGCUAUGGGCACAGAGCAUAUUAAAAAACCCCACUUCUUAAAGAGAUUCUGAAUAUAGGCAUAACUCAGUUUAUUGUGCUUGACUUUAUUGUGCUUUGCGAAUAUUGCAGUUUUUACAAAUAGAAGGUUUGUGGCAACUCUGUGUUGUCAGAUGAUGGUUAGUUUUUUUUUUUUUUGCAAUAAACUUUUAAAAUUAAGGUAUGUGCAUUAUUAGUUAUUUUUUAAAUUUUAUUUUUUUAAAUUGAAGUAUAGUUAAUUUAGUUGUGUUAGUUUCAAUUGUACAAGUUUAAGCAAAGCGAUUCAGUGAUACAUAUAUAUCUAGUAUUCUUCAGAUUCUUUCCCAUUAUAGGUUCUUACAAGAUACUGAGUUUAGUUCCCUGUGCUAUAUAGUAGGUUGGGUAUGUAUCUUGCUUUUUUUAAACAUAGUGCUAAUGCACACUUAAUAAAUUUUAGUAUAGUGUAAACAUAAUUUUUUACAUGCAGGGAGAAACCAAAAAAAUUGUGUGCCUAGGCUUAUUGCAAUAUUCAUUUUAUUGCAGUAUUCAUUUUUUACCAAACCUUCAGUAUCUGUGAGGUAUGCCUGUAUUUUGAAGUGGAGGCGGUGAUCACUUCCUACAGGAAGAAAAAUAUAAGAAAUGAACAUCAUUCUACUUUUCAAAACAGGGCAGAUAAUUUGCAAGCUCAGGGAAGGCUGUGGAUACAGUGUAUUGCUGUUUCUGCUGGCAUUUGGGGAAGAGUGUUCUGUCUUAUCUCGGUGGAGAAGAGUGUAUACUUUUGAUUGGACACUAUCGUUAGAUGUACCCAGACCUGUUGGAACAAAUAGUACCCCUCUUCAAGCCUGUGGGACCAUCUCUGGCUGAGGCAGAGGACUUUAUCCUUGACCUUGUCUUUGUCCUGUUCAAGAGCAUGACUCAUUUGAGGAAAGAAACAUUUUGUAAUCUGGCAGAUGAGACAAAGCUCAAAGCAACCUGGUGAUGGCAGGGCAGAGAUUUGAAAAUAAUUUUAGUGGCCUGGAAUUAGGCUGAAGCUGAAACUAACAUGAUGCAGUUAAAAACUUCAUAGAUUUAAAAAAAAGCAGUUGUUCAAAUAUAGAACAAGAACUGUUCUGGGAAAAGAUCCGGGGGUAAUGAGAUACAGCAGCUGAAGAAGUAAUGGGAAUUCAGAGACAUGCAGGCUUAGAUAAGCGUGAAGACAUUGGCCUCUGGACUCUGGCCCAUGCUUCCCGGCCUGGGAUCCGCUGUGGACUUGCCAUCUGAGGAAGAGACUCAGAGCCCCCAGAAGGAUUAGGAGGCUUGAGAGAAAAAAAAACAAAAAAAAAAACAAAAAA
rnacentral:lncRNA from 1 species